rnacentral:rRNA from 1 species
UUAUGGCUCAGGAUGAACGCUGGCGGCGUGCUUAACACAUGCAAGUCGAACGGAGUUAGAUGAAAGCUUGCUUUGACUAAACUUAGUGGCGGACGGGUGAGUAACGCGUGGGUAACCUGCCUUAUACAGGGGGAUAACAGUCGGAAACGACUGCUAAUACCGCAUAAGCGCACGGAAUCGCAUGAUUCAGUGUGAAAAGAUUUAUCGGUAUAAGAUGGACCCGCGUCUGAUUAGCUAGUUGGUGAGGUAACGGCCCACCAAGGCGACGAUCAGUAGCCGGCCUGAGAGGGUGAACGGCCACAUUGGGACUGAGACACGGCCCAAACUCCUACGGGAGGCAGCAGUGGGGAAUAUUGCACAAUGGGGGAAACCCUGAUGCCAGCGACGCCGCGUGAGUGAAGAAGUAUUUCGGUAUGUAAAGCUCUAUCAGCAGGGAAGAAAAUGACGGUACCUGACUAAGAAGCCCCGGCUAACUACGUGCCAGCCGCUGC